AUUGAACGCUGGCGGCAGGCCUAACACAUGCAAGUCGAGCGGGGUUUUCGGACCUAGCGGCGGACGGGUGAGUAAUGCGUAGGAAGCUACCCGAUAGAGGGGGAUACCAGUUGGAAACGACUGUUAAUACCGCAUAAUGUCUACGGACCAAAGUGUGGGACCUUCGGGCCACAUGCUAUCGGAUGCGCCUACGUGGGAUUAGCUAGUUGGUGAGGUAAUGGCUCACCAAGGCGACGAUCCCUUGCUGGUUGGAGAGGAUGAUCAGCCACCCUGGAACUGAGACACGGUCCAGACUCCUACGGGAGGCAGCAGUGGGGAAUAUUGGACAAUGGGCGCAAGCCUGAUCCAGCCAUGCCGCGUGUGUGAAGAAGGCCUUCGGGUUGUAAAGCACUUUCAGUAGGGAGGAAGCGUUGUGUGUUAAUAGUACACAGCGUUGACGUUACCUACAGAAGAAGCACCGGCUAACUCUGUGCCAGCCGCCGCCGUAAGAC
rnacentral:rRNA from 1 species